rnacentral:lncRNA from 14 species
ACUGUCAAUAGGUUUCCCUCUUGAUUUAGAAAUGAAGGAUUUUGAAGGGCAUACUCCACUCCACUGUGCUGUUCUGGCCCACAACGCCCUGCUCCGAGAGCAGGGUUGCCAGAUGUUGCCUGAGGAACAGCAGAAAAAGCUUCAGCACCAGAGUGAGGAUCUGGAGUCCUGUAUCCAGCUCCUAGUGCAAACAGGAGCCUCCAUCUACAGCAGGGAUGUCAAAAGCAGCAAGACAGUUCUUCAUUAUACGGUCCAGGAUGGGAACCUCUCCCUGCUCAGAUACUUCUUGGAGUUAAAUGCU